AUUAGCAUAUGCGAGAGCUUUCUUAAAUGAGAGUCAAGCUAACAAGUAUCCACCUAAGAAAGUGAAUGAGUUGAAGGACAUGUUUAGGAAAUUCAUACAGGCAUGCAGCAUUGCACUUGAACUAAAUGAGCGGCUAAUUAAAGAGGAUCAAAUUGAGUACCAUGAAGGACUAAAAUCAAAUUUCAGAGACAUGGUCAAAGAAUUGUCUGACAUUAUCCAUGAGCAGAUAUUACAAGAAGACACGAUGCAUUCUCCCUGGAUGAACAACACAUUACAUGUAUUUUGUGCAAUUAGUGGUACAUCAAGUAACAGAGGGUAUGGUUCCCCAAGAUACUCUGAAGUAUGAAGGAAAUGGCAAAGAGACUGACCUUUCUCAGGAAUAUUUGGAGCUGUGCAAAGGGUAGCAUUUAGAGAUUGAUAUCUGUGGAGUAUUGCCUCCUGACGCCGAAAUCGUCAUGCUUUCAUACAGGGUGCUUACGUAUCUGUAAAUAUUUAAGCAACUCGAAAGUGCCUGAAACUCGCAGCCGUGCGCUUGCUUUGUACUGUUUUGAGGUAAAUCUAUAUGCUGAAAAGGAGAGCUCAAAACCAUUCGUUCCAUUUGCUUCGUUACCACUUACUAACAAUGAGAAUAUGUAAAAUUGUAUAAUGGAACUCAAUAAAAGGUAAAACUUAUUUGUAAUUCGA
rnacentral:lncRNA from 1 species